UACGAAGGGGGCUAGCGUUGCUCGGAAUUACUGGGCGUAAAGGGCUCGUAGGCGGCCAACUAAGUCAGACGUGAAAUCCCUCGGCUUAACCGGGGAACUGCGUCUGAUACUGGAUGGCUUGAGAUUGGGAGAGGGAUGCGGAAUUCCAGGUGUAGCGGUGAAAUGCGUAGAUAUCGGGAGGAACACCGGUGGCGAAGGCGGCGUCCUGGACCAACACUGACACUGAUGAGCGAAAGCCAGGGGAGCAAACGGG
rnacentral:rRNA from 1 species